GAGGAAGAAGCAGGCUCCUAGCAGAGGAGCCUGAUGUGGGGCUUGAUCCCAGAACGCUGGGAUCACACCCUGAGCCGAAGGCAGAUGCUUAACGACUGCGACACCCAGACGCCCCAAGACUGAUGUAAUUCUUAUUCCAGUUUGUCUAGAGACAGCCAGCGAGAGAGGGAACACAGCAGAGGAGUGGGAGAGAAAGAAGCAGGCUCCCAGCGGAGGAGCCGGAUGUGGGACUCGAUUCCGGAACCCCGGGAUCACGCCCCGAGCCGAAGGCAGACGCUUAACAACUGUGCCACCCAGGCGCCCAAGAUUUUCCUAAAGACUUCUUAAAUAGGGUCUGACGUUUGCUUUUUUUUUUCUUUUCUCCCCUGUAAUCAGCUGUUCUUAUACAGGAGCCCUACUGAUGUGGUGGUGAGAUAGGAGGAACAGUGAGCAUUCUAUGGUCCUUCGAUGAGGUCUCGUUCUUUCCAUGAGCCUGAGCUGGAUAUUUCUCUCCCUCCCAGGUUUUGGUAAAGCCCCAGUUGGUGAGACUCUGAUAAAUAAUUUCUCUUGAGGGCAGGCCUUGUUAAUGAGAAUAGAAUGUUUUCCCUUCCUGCUGUUGGAAGCAAUAGGGGACUUUUUUUCAGAUCUUCACAGUGAGAACUUGGCAGGAUUCUUGGAGUUAAAACUCACAAAAAUGUGACGAUACUCCUAAAAGUGGAUCCCAUUAGAGUUUCUGAUUUUUAAGCUCAUCUACACUGAGCCUCUAGCAAUUAGUCAGUUAUAGCUUAAUGUGUCUUACAAAUAUUGGCUCCAACUGCAGGCUUCUCCUUUUGGGCUUCUGCUCUGGGUGAGCUGUGAUUUCUUUUGUAUUUGCCUAUCUCUCUCUCCAGUUUUCGGGAUGGCUGUUUGCCUUGUGACCUCAAUUUUCUGAUGGCUCUAACAAGACUUGUUGAUUGUUAGUUUGCUCAGCUUUUUUUUCUUGUUGUGAAGAUGGUAGUGAUGACUUCUAACCACUUUACAUGUUGGACUGGAAACAAGAAAUUAGCCUUUUGCAGUACAUCUUAGUUUGGGGACUGGGAUUACCUGCUAUAGACUGGUGUCUGCAAGUACUGUCAGAAACUCCCUGGCAGCUAUUUACUUCCCAAAAGGGACUCCUACACCCAGUUUAUAGGAACCUAAGGCAGAAGGUAGAUUGAUCUGGACCUCAUCUGUACAUGAUAAAUGUGUAAGGAAAAUAGCAACACAAUCUUGAGAUGAAAUUUGGGUCUCCUAUCACUGACCAGGCUCCUUGGGCAAAUUGGGAAUUUUUUGGGGGGGGUGUCUGAGGACAUCCUCUUGUGUUCCACUAGAGCAUAGUUCGAGAGUAAAAGUUAGGCUGAGUGCUGGAAUGAUGGCCUAGUGUCCCCCUGCCUGCCUAGCGCCCCCAACCAUUUGCAAUGGUUGACAUGCAUGGAGGAAGAGCCUUUCAUGGGAGAAAUUAUUUGGGGCAGAUUUCUGGGAGAAAAUGGAAUAUACCACUUGUUCCCAAGGUAGGACACAGGAAAGAUGUCUGACUUCCAGGGAGACCGUGGGUAAAAGAUAAAAAGACCACAUUUGUGUGAAUCCAGGACAGGAGCAGGGCUGCUGUAGGGCCCACAUGACAAAAUGAAACUCAGAGUCAGGAAUAGAGUGGUCAGCGAGGUGGCCCCCCCAUGCUUUGCAGAUGUUUUAUGGGUGCAGCACAGUUGGGUUGGUCUGGUGAUACCGUUGGGAGGAAGAAAACUAUUUUCUGCUGUAGGAGUCUGGCAAGAUGCCACCAUGAGGGGUGCAUGGAGGACAGACUACAAGCAGACCUGUUUCUGAGUGUGGGGGCUGGUCUCGGGUCAUUUGCAUUCGAGCAGGAGGCUAGUUAUGUGGGUGAGUCCUCCCGUGAUGAUGAGGGUUUGGAGGCUGUGUGAAGUGGAGAAUACUUUUGAGUAGGCGAGUGUUUCCUUCUCACUAUAUCACAGAAGAGGCCUCUUUCAUGACUCUGGUUAUUCUAGCUCUAAUACCUCUACCUGCCUUUUUGUUUAAGAGCUGAGUCAGAGGGGUCCCCAAAGACCAGGCUUUCUUCCCUCUGCUGACAGCUUCCUAAGGGCAUCGGUCUAUUCAUCUGUCAAGAAUGUGGAUGGGUAGUAAGGAGGGCACGUAUUGCAUGGUGCACUGCGUGUUAUAUGCAACUAAUGAAUCAUCGAACUUUACAUUAGAAACCAGGGAUGUCCUGUAUGGUGACUAACAUAAUAUAAUAAAAAAAAAUUAAAAAAAGAAUGUGGGUAAACAAACAUAAAGUGCAUUCUCAAACUAAAGUGGCUCUUAAUAAUUGGGCUGGGACCAUAAGUCACUAUGUUGUCUUUAGUUAAGGAACUUAUGAAAACAAGAAGAAGAGGAAAAGAAAGAGCCUUCUUGGCUAGCAGUCUACUUAUCUUGCAAAUCAAUCUGAGUUAAAGCCAAAAGAAAAGGUGAGGCACGUGAUGUGACUCAGCCUGGGGACACGCAGGUGUAAGUCCAGCCGAACCCACAGCCAUAUUUCAGCUCCUUCCAGGGUGACCAUUACAGAACGUCCUUGGGUGAUGCCCAUGGAAGCUGGGUUAAGGAAGGAGAUGGAGAACAGAGAAGCCAUGUCCCUUUAUUCAUUGUUCAGCACAUCCUUCGUCCUCAGAGGCAUUCUCAAUCCCGGGCAGCUGCCCAGGUGCCUUCUAGUUGUGAACGGUCUUGAAAGAUUUAGAGUCUUCCAGAUGGAUCUCUGUAAUGCACCCCGAAAUGGAUACUCCCUAAAGGCUCCCCAAAUCUGUUGGUGUCAAAAAAGAACCCGGCAUUUGGUGACUGUGAGUAAUGCUGAUCAUUUACAGAGCUUACGAGGUGGGACCAGCCACUCUUUGGGUGUGUAAAAUGUCUUAUUUUCUCUGCCUGACUCUGAGUUCCUUGAAGAUACGUCCCUUUCAUCUCUCUAUUUGCCAUAUAGCCCAAACCCAUGCUGAUGCAUGCUGAUUUCGUUUCCUUCCCUGAUAAACAAAAGAACCCAAAUUACAGCUGUUGACUCUUUGCUUGCUGCGUGACUGUUAAAUUCUAUUUUUCCCAGCACUUUCUUUUGUACAGCUGAAAAUAUGGCUUUGCUCACACACGAGGGGAGACAGAUCAGCUCACACCACUAGGGGAGACACAUCAGUUGAUAACCUACAGCGAUACCUUCUGCCUGCAUUUUUCAGGAAUGAUACGUGCUUUCAGGGAUGACCGUGUCGUUGCUAUGAUGAAUCCUCUCUUGCUUUUGUCUUUUCUUCAGAGACAGGAUUUAUACUUAUAUGUCUACACUCUACCCCUUUCUCCCUAAGAUUUAUGGGCAGGUGUGAGUCAGCUGACCACAGAGGGUGGUGUUUCCGUAGUUGGGACAGAGAGAGAUUCCCUGGAAUGCAUGGGGCCAUCCCAUGGUGCUAAUGUGGUUUUGUGCAAAUGGUGUAGCUGAAUCAUGUGGGAUGGGUCAAGGGCUGCUGGACAUGAACUUGAGUCCCUCCCUGGCACUGAUCGUUCACAGGCUAUUUUUACCUGUGUUACGGCAGAUAAAGGAUUGUACUUGACCUCUCUUCUCUGAUUUCACUACUUGUGCUCCUCAAGCAGGAAUCACUCAAACAUACUUAUCUUCCCAAGAAAGAUUGCCCAGUCUUAUGGGCUCUGUAUGUUUCAUUAUCCUUGGCUUAGAACUCCUUUCCCCCAACCUUGUUUCCCCUACUAAUCUUUACCCUUCCUUUGAGGCUUUGCAGAGACAGCACCUUUUUUCCUAAAAACUUUGAUUCCCAAGCAAGGCUAAAGCCUGAAAAUGUGUGUUUUUAAAAACAUUGUGGUAAAAAAACAUACAAUGCAAGUUUACCCUCCUAA